GAGAAUACUAAAUUUGGUUCACACCCCUUUUUUUUUAGAUGGAGUCUCUCUCUUGUCGCCAGCCUGGAGUGCAGUGACACGAUCUCAGCUCACUGCAACCUCCCUCUCCCAGGUUCAAGCGAUCCUUCUGCCUCAGCCUCCCAAGUAGAUGGGACUACAGGUCGAUUCUGAAGGGCGGAGUCAACAGCCUGAGCUGGUUUGCUGUCUUGUCAAGAUCUGAGGACUGAUUUCAACAUCCUCAUUUUUGAAGAGUUC
rnacentral:lncRNA from 13 species